GAAAAAUUCAUACAGGUUUUACUAUUUUGUCUAGUUUGCUAAAUAAUGACUAGCUUUGAAUGUUGAUUAUGCGUUAUGUUGCUGGAAUGAACAUCAGUUGGUCAUGAGUAUUCUUUUUAUAUAUUGCUGGGUUUGAUUUGAUAAAUUUUGUUGAGAUUUUGGUGUCUAUGUAAUCAAACAUAUUUAACUAAUUUGGAAUUAGGGUAAAGUUAGCUUCAUAAAAUGAGUUUGGAAAUGUUCCUAUUUAUAUAUUUUGGAGAAAACUACAUAUAUAGAAUUGACUACAUAUAUAUUUUUUCCUUCAGUAGUUGAUAGAAUUGACUACUGGCCCCAUGUGGGUCUGGAAUUUUUUUUUUACUAAAGUCCUGCUUUUCUUUCCCCAGUCAGCACCAGGGCUUUGGUGCUGUAAGACCAAGGGCCUUACCAAAUGCUCCGAGGAGCUGACUAUAGUGAAGCACACCCACGGAUCCCAGCGGUGCCUCCAGAAUGCAAGGCCAAGGGCCUUACCAAACGCUCCAAGGAGCUGGCUACUGCGAGGACCACCCGGGAAGGAACACACCGGCCAUGUUGGAAAACAGACCUUUAUUAGUCUGGCCAGACGGCACUCCCGAAGCAAAAUAGCUCAGAGAGAUUUGAUCACUGUGCUGAUAUGGAAAUAUCUGCUUCCAUGAGAUACCUAAAAACCAUGGAACAAGAAAAGCCUCAUAAUAAUGUUUGUUCUUGAGCAGGAGGGAUCAAACUCAGGACCUUGCACUCAAGAGGCAGGCUGUGGCACCACUGAACUAAAUCCCUGGCCUGGCAUAAGCCCCUGCAGGAUGGAAGCACCUUUUUUUGGUGGCACUUCAACUCAUAUUUUCUCACUUUCAAUUCAUCUUUAUGACUCCUUGAAGCCAGAUCUAACUCCACAGUAACCAGGAGCCUGACUGUGUCAGAGCAGCAAAACCCUCAACUUUGAGCACAACGAUCACUGAUAUGGUCUGCAUAAAACCUUCUGCCUCUAGCUACAGCCAUGUGCAGAGUCCUGGGGGCAAAAAAAGCCACCGCCUUAAAUCUUUUCACUCAGAAAUUAUAAAGAUAAAAUACACAGAUGAAAAAGACUAAAUAAAAAAACCAAUAAAUUAAUAAAAGACAAACCCAACUCAUUUUAUUUCAUUAUGGAUAUUCAGAUAAGAGCCCACCUGACAAAAUUCAAAUUCAAAAAUGAAGCUAGUAAAUUAUAAAUUGAUUUAUCAUUUGUGAAGGUGAAAGCAUAGAGACAAACAGUGUCCCCAUAUCAGAAUCACUUGUCUUUUCAAAAUAUGUAGACAAAAACCAAACUGGACAGACAGAGCCACAGUGAGCAGCAGGGAUAGAGUUCUGCUGUGCAGAAAGGACAGUUGCUGACUGUGUGCACCUAAAGCCAUAAUGAGUAAUAGCAUUGUUGCCAGUUAUCUGAGGAGUUUCCAAGUUCAGUCCCUUCUCAUCCUUUGUUGGCUGAGAGGGGAAGUCAGUUCUUACUCACUACCCCUCAAACAUGUUGCUGGUAUUUGCACUGUCACCUCCAUUCAGGGUAACAAAGUGUGCUGCGAUUUGCACAAAUGGUCCCAGAAGUUUUGAGAUCAGAAGUUUCUCACAGGAGUCCAAAAAGAAAACCUUAAGAAUUCUCAAGACAUUGAUUUUUCUCCUAUAAAAAUCAGAGGCCUAAAGAAAUGGAAUUGUCUCCAACUUAAAAACACAGCAAAACAACUGCAGAAUAAUAAAGUAUCUGUGUGAUCAAAUAAGUGAAAAAGGAGAUAAAAAUUUUAAUAAAGAUUAUUUUCUAUCAUUAACAUCAAGAAGUCAAAUACAAGUGAACUGCACACUAAAUAUUUGUGUUGAAUAUCUAUUUGUUCUCUUACUUCAAAGGUCAUUUGUAAUUUGUAUUUAACAGACAUUUAACAGUUUUUAU
ensembl:lncRNA